UACGUAGGUGGCAAGCGUUGUCCGGAUUUACUGGGCGUAAAGAGCGCGCAGGCGGUCGUUCAAGUCGCGUGUGAAAGCCCCCGGCUCAACUGGGGAGGGUCACGCGAUACUGAUCGACUCGAAGGCAGGAGAGGGAAGUGGAAUUCCCGGUGUAGUGGUGAAAUGCGUAGAUAUCGGGAGGAACACCAGUGGCGAAGGCGACUUCCUGGCCUGUUCUUGACGCUGAGGCGCGAAAGCAUGGGGAGCAAACAGG
rnacentral:rRNA from 1 species